rnacentral:lncRNA from 1 species
AGAAGAUUACACUAAAACCCAGACGAAAAUCGUUGAUUUCCACUGCAAAUGCUGUAAGGUAAUAUUUUUCUUCAUGAAAAGCUUCGUUUUUCUUUCCUUAACUGUUUUUUGCUCAAUAUUUUGUGUGUUAUUUCUGUUUUCUAAGGUUUUUCGUCUAGGAUUUUGAUUUGUAGUGUUUAGUCGACAUCCAUAUAUUUAUUUUUUUACUUUCAGUUGUGUAUUCAUAUUUUUUUGUCUACUUCAAGUGUUUACAUGUUUUAUAAUUGAUGUUAUCCCGAUGUGAAGUUAUUUUUGGUCCCGACAUAAUUUUUUAAAAUUUUGGUAGCUGGUUUAGGUUUCUUUUGGUCCCAAUAUUCUGAGCUUUUUCUGUUGUUUAAUAGGUAAAUUUAUCUCCAAUUAUGCUACUUUCUGAUUAUAGUAUUAUGUGAGUAGGACCAUAUUUAAUGAUUUAUUCGUUAAUUUAUUAAGGAGUUGGCCUGAAAGUGGACCUUUAUGUGGUUUAGUCCCAAGAUCUGAACUUCUUCUUUAUUUAUUAAGUGAAGUUGUCUCCAAUUGUUUGACCUUUUACUAUCAAAGUAUUCCCUGAGUAGGACUACCUUCAAUGGUGAUAUGACAGAUCAAUGUGAUCUUUUCGGUGUUGAACCCCUUGCUUUAACUGAUUACUUACUUAUGCCUUUUUAUUUACUUUUAUUGUUACCCUUUUAGUUUUGCCUUUUUAUUGAUUUCUUUAUUCUUUUUUGACUAACCUUAUUUGCUAUAUUUGUAGGUUAUUGGAGGUGAUGUUGUUCAAUGAUAAUGGUGAUUGAAUUACACAGCCCGAGGUCUUAUAAACUGGGGCACACUUGGACUGGUUAUGAUUUAGACCUAGUUUUAUAUAUAGACAUAGUGAAUGAAUAUACAAAUGAACCGGGGUUUGUAGGGGUUGGCAACUUAUUGUUGUUGGUUCAACAAUUUCUAGCAACUUUUAUGAGAUUGAUAGGGAUGUUGGAUUAGACAAUUA